AACAUUGCACACUCAUAACGGAUUAGUUUCCUUUUUUUAUUAAGAUAUAGUUUCAAUUUCACUACACUUGAUCAUUGUUGCAAAAGCACUCAUAAAAGAUAAAAGAAAUAAUUGAUUAUCAAAAUCAUUUGCAUCCCCCCGGGGGACAAUGAUAGAUAUAGUCUUCGAGAGCUUUCUUUCGCUUCGCAAUCAAACACUCUUCCCUUGUAAUCCCUGAGCAAUCAACAAUGUCUGGUGAUGCUAUAGGAUUAUUGGAAAAUGACGCAUCUGCGGUAGAUCCUUGGCCAAUAUGAUUGGCUAAAAUAAGUCUACUUUCAGUGUUUGCCACUACGAGCAAAGCCAAGAUGAUGAAACUAAGGCUCUUCGACAUAUUUCUAUUUCUUAGGUGAAUUAUCAAUAACUUAAUUAAAAGUAUAAGAGAUCUACAUCAAUCAGGGCAGCAUGAGUCUCUAUUUAUAUGAAUGAAUAUUGAGAAACGAGUUGCAGUGACUUUAAUGGAAUUGAAAGAUUCCAUAAAUGAGGAUUAAAUAAAUUAUGUUGUCUUUGUUUAAAUUAACUAUUGACUUUAAUAUCAUGUUGCAUUACAGCGACAAUUUAACAUACAUUAAAUUAAUUUGAUCGUUUUUAGUGUUAUUAUUAUGUUUAGUUUAUUGUUAGAUUCUUUCUCAUUAUAUCAAUCGUCAAACUAUUGUUUUAAUAUGUAAAGACGUUUCUAGAAGCCACGCGCUCCAACAAAAUUAACCACAUCCUAUUUUAAGCAAGCCAGCGACACAAUCAAUCCUAUAUAUUUGCAAGGAUAUACAGUAAUACUUCUAUAAAUUGAUAAUAAAUAAAUCAUGCAACAUCUAUUAAUUUAAAGAGAUAUUGAUAUUAAUCAAUCAAUAAGUUGUAUAAGAGAUUAUGUUUUAUAAUUGUAUGGUCACAUUCUUACUAUAAAAUAAUAAUUUGUUGGGUUUACAAACAUAAUUGUUAUAAUAUGUUAUUAAAUAAAACAUAACUCGAUUAUUAUUUGUUUUUCUUCAAAUCUAAACAUAGUGGGAUCUCAUCUCUGAUAUUACUUAUUCCUGCGGAAUUCAAAACAACAGGAAUUCUCUUUUUUUUGGUUAAUUGUAAUCUAUAUUUAGGGGAUUAAUUAAUUUUGAAUUGGCUAUGUUGGUAAAAUACUACAAAUUAUCUAGUUGAUUAAAUAUAUGUUCACUUAAUUGUAUAUACACUCUAUAAAUUAAAUGAUUAUUAACUUAUAGAUUAAUUAAUAUCAGUAUCUCUUUAUAUUAAUAGAAUUGUAUGAUUCUGAUAUUAAUUUAGAGAGGUUGUAUUGUAUAUCCAUGAGAUUCUACAUUAGCGGCAGACCAUUUGAAAAAAAAAAGUACCGGAUAAUUUUACAUUAAUUUUCCUCCAAGUAUAUGCAUUUUAACUUCUCACUAACAGCAAAUCAAUAAUGUUGAGACCAAAUCAAUCUCCAAGAUCAACUUGGAACCUCGAAGACCCACUCUAUGAAACUUGACCUUGAUAUGGAAUUAACACUAAACUAAGCUUUGACAAGAAUUACGUAUAAAUACUUCAAACCAGCCACACAAUCAAAGAAAAUCAUAUCACACACUUGCACCAAGGAUUAUAGUGGUUCAGCCAAUUUCUUGCCUACAUCCACUGUGAAAAGAGAAACAAGCUUUUACUGAUUUCCAGAGAAUAAGUUACAUGUAUGAAGAGUGAAUACAACUUAAUAGAAUGCCUUUAGUAACAGAGCCUAGGACCUUUUUUACUCCUAUCAGAGCCUGAUGAAAGAGCCCCCAGAAGUCAGCUCACGCUCCUGGGUUUCCAGCCAAGAUGAUAAUCAGCUGCCUCCCGCGUGAUCUAACCGAAAUAACCAAUUCUUGAAUUUGCUUUGGGACACUUGUCAAAAGCUCAUGCAAUCUGUUAGCUAAAACGCAAAUGAGGUUGCCGUUUGAAUUAGUGAAUCAUGUGAUGCAUCACGUGCAUUACUAACGCAUCCAGCCGACAUAACGUUUAUUCCAUUCAGCUUCUCUGAACUCUAGUGCUUGACAAGUCGUUAUGCUUCAUUAGAAACAGAUGACAUGUCAUACAAAUCCCCAAGUUCAGAUUUGAGCUACACAAUUCCAACAAAUAAAGCACCUCAAAUGCAAUUACAUCAAUCUCUAUAACAAUGUCAAAUAUCCAAUAUCAUCAAGUUCAAAUUCUAAUAUAAGCAUUAUGUACUGAGUCCGAAUAUUAUAGAACCAACAUUUUUUUAAAAGUGAAAUUUAACAUGAUCAAAAGAAACAAACAACAUUAGUGUUAAAGAUGCUGAAUUUACAGAAACCAUUUAUUAAAAAAGAAAUUAUUGUAAUUAUCUAUAAUAGAAUUAAAGAGAGGAUGUGUUGAUAUUAUAUUGAACUUGUUUUUGUUCAGCUUUAUGGCCACCACCACUAUCAUAAGACAGGCCCAAAGCAACAAAGUAAAUGCUAGAGCGAGGAAAAGGAUACUUUUGCUAAUUAAGUAAAUUAAUUAAAAGGUGAUGGCUGAAAAGAUAUUUUGAGAAGGUUCAAUAUCACCACUCGAAAAAUGGCACAUAAUCAGUCCUACACAUUUAUUCAAUAUAAAACUACCAAGUCCAAGCCAAGCUUCAUCAGUACUCAAUCAUUUUUGUGAAUCAUCAAAUUAUCUGUUAAUAUCAUUUUACACAAAUAUUGAAAAGUUAUAGAUUAAGAUUCGUGUAAUAAUGCAAUAUGCAAACAUUGGAAAGCAUUAUCUGACAUAAAUGUGGAGGCAAAAUUGUUGUAACUCACCAAAGCAUUGAACCAAAUCUAAAUGCGUUAAUUAAACUAUAAUAAAAGCUCAAGAUAUUAUGAGCAUCGACAUUAAUUACUGGAUGGUUUGACAAUUAUGUAUGUAUGCAAAGUUUAAAUAAUUAAUUGCUCAAGUAUGGAUAAUUUAAGCAUUUAUAUUGGACGUAAUUCUUGUUGAUUUUGUUCAAUACUUUGGAUCAAUUGGUUUUCAUAGUGUUAUACACACCAAGCAUAUCGGCUACCUUGGCAAUUGCUCAAGUGGGGAAGAGGUGGAAUUCAUUAGCAAGCUAGCUACCAGUUAGCUUCCAAGUGUCCCUGUACUGCCACAAAGUUACAGGAGAAUUAGCUGCAAGCUUCAUUGGACUCAUCAUCUCCUUGCUUUUGCUUCCUUAUUCAUCCAUACAGUAGUGUUGAAUCCCAUACUUGUUCGAAGAGGUGAUUCACUAUCUCAAGUCUUUUUGGUCACCCACUUUCAGAAUUUAUUUCUUCUUUUUAUGAUGCUUCCUAUCUAAUAAGAGUGUGUGAAUUGGAGAUUGUAUUUGUUUAAUUCAUAACAUCCCAAAAACAUUGCAGAAGAGAGACAAAAUAAGAAAAGUUGAAUACUAAAUACAUUAACGAAAAUUCCUUGAACCAAUUAAUCUUACAUGUUAUUCUUCGUGCUAACCACAUAUGGGUCUUGAAUUUGUAGGAGUCAAUAGCACUAGGCGCACACACAAAAAACACAUGAUAUAAUAUUUUGUACUCAUAAUGGAUUAAUUUCUUCUUUUAUUAAAACACAGUUUUAAUUCCACUACAAUUGAUCAUUACGGCAAAAGGACUCAUAAAAGAUAAAAGAAAUAACUUAUUAUCAAGUUGAUUUGCAUCCCCUUGCGGAACAAGGGUAGAUAGAGUCUUUGAGAGCCUAUUUUAACUUUUCAAUCAAACACUCUUCCCUAGUAAGUCUUGAGCAAUCAAUAAUUUUAGGCGAUGAUGAAACUAAAAAUCUUUGACAUUUUUACAUUUCAUUAGUAGGUUGGCCACUAGUAUACCUCCAAGCACUUUAAUAUGGUUACCAAAUUAAAGCAGCAUUAGUUAUUGGCUUCACUGGACUCAUUAUCUACUUGUUGCUACUUUUCUAUUCAAUCCACACAGUAGGCUUGAAUCCCCCAGCUUGCUCAAAAAACUUAAUUUAUUGCCACAAGUUUUUUUGGCCACACAAUUUGAGAAUUUGCUUCUUCUUUUUAUGAUGCUUCCCAUCUAAUAAGAGCGUGUGAUUAAGAACUUGUAUUUGUUUAAUUCAUAACAUCUCAAGAGCAUUACAAUAGAAAGAUCGAAAAAGAAAAGCUGAAACUGACAACAUUGAUUAAAAUUCCUACUUGUUAUUCUUAGUAAUAACAACAUCUAGGUCUUAAAUUUGUAGGAGCCAACAUGAUGAAGCCUAUAUUUUGCAUCAUUAAAUGAUUAAUCUUAUUGUUAUAUCUGAUUUCACUAUUGUCUUAUCAAAAACAAUUUCUUACCAUACUAGUUGCAUAAAAAUUAACAAACUAACAUAUUAUCAUUUUAAGUCAUCAAUCAAGUAUAAAUAUUAUAUUAUUUAGUUAUAUAACAAGAAUAAAGAAAUAUCUAAAUUUCAAAGACAAAUCUUAAAUUAAAGCCAAACUAGCCAUCGCAAAUAAAUAAAAUAGUACAUAUUUGCAUUUAGAAGCAACUGCUUGAAACAAUUUUGUAAUUACUAACAAGUUUUUCUUAAAUGAAAUAAAAUAACAUAAAAUAAAAGAAAUUAAAAGCCAAUAUUUUUAUUUUCAAGUGAUGAAAUUAAAAUUCUGGUUACAAUUACAUGUGACUUCUGUUGUGCGGCUUAGCCAACAAAUUGUCCAUUUACUUGCAUUAAUUUUUUUUCAUCUUGAACGCAAUUUGCGAAUCCGCCAUGACAACAUUGCAUCUAAUUAGAGAAAGACUUUUGUAUUUUUAGUAGAUGAGGUCAAUAUGUGCCAGAAUAAUAGGAAACUUUUGUUAUAUUAACUGGGCGAACUUCAAUUUAUUCUCAUGCAAAUAAAAAUCUUCAAUUUACCCUUCAAAAUCGUGAAAACCUCAACUUACCUCGAUUUUUGUUCAGAAGAUAAGCGUAAAUGAAUUUUUUAAUCUAUUUUUUUAGUAAUAAAAUUGGGUAAGAUGAUGUGUUCACGUUUUUUAGGGUAAAAUUGAUAUUUUCAUAAUUUAAAUUGAAGUCUAUACAUAAAUUAGUUCAGGCAAUUAAAUUGAAUUUUUCCCUUAAAUUAACUCAAUCAGUUUAGUAAUAUAAGAUUUUAAUAAAAUACAAGAGUUUUUUUUCCCUUUUUUGUGAGGAUACAGCCUCACCCGAAGAGGAAAUGGAUUGAAUGUUCAAAUAUUACUAGUACUAACACAGUAAUAAUGAUCAUUAUUAGUAUUUCAACAAAUUACUCUCUCAUAGAUUGAGUUAACGAUUUGUAUACAACAAAAUAGCAUCAGAUGCACGUACAAAAGGCACAUAUCAUAACAUUGCACACUCAUAAUGGAUUAGUUUCUUUUUUUAUUAAGAUAUAGUUUCAAUUUCACUACACUUGAUCAUUGUUGCAAAAGCACUCAUAAAAGAUAAAAGAAAUAACUGAUUAUCAAAAUCAUUUGCAUCCCCCCGGGGGACAAUGAUAGAUAUAGUCUUCGAGAGCUUUCUUUAGCUUCGCAAUCAAACACUCUUCCCUUGUAAUCCCUGAGCAAUCAACAAUGUCUGGUGAUGCUGUAGGAUUACUGGAAAAUGAUACAUCUGCGGUAGAUCCUUGGCCAAUAUGAUUGGCUAAAAUAAGUCUACUUUCAGUGUUUGCCACUACGAGUAAAGCCAAGAUGAUGAAACUAAGGCUCUUCGACAUAUUUCUAUUUCUUAGGUGAAUUAUCAAUAACUUAAUU
rnacentral:lncRNA from 1 species